ACCUCUGAUAAGAUAACAGGGCAAAUGUGAACCGUAACACAGUAGGGAAACGUCGGUGAGAGUCCGAGGCUGUGCCGCAACUGUAAACAAGAUUUUAGGUAAAACAGUAGUGCUACCUUACUUGUAAGCCAGAAUGCCUACCUGUUACUUGCUCACUAU
rnacentral:ncRNA from 2 species